UUGAAAAUUGCCACAUCUUUCAAUUAAUGAAAUAUGUUUAGGUAAGUUAAAAUAGCAGCUAUUGACAAUUGAUAUAACAAGAUAGAUUUUGUUUAUUUUAAAAAGAAAGUGAAAUUUCUCUACCAAUUAUGAAAGGUUGUUUCUUCCUCCAAGAUACAUUUUUGCCGCUGUUUCAUCACUGGUUGUUUCUCUUCAAAUCUCAAAUUCAAAUCUAAAGCACAAAAUCUAUCAACGCAAGAGAAAGAGAACAAAACAAAUGCUCUGAUUCCAAAAGCUACCUUUGAGCAGUAAGAAAAGUAACAAAUAUACCUCAAUGAAACGAAACCUCAGAAAUAUCCAAAGCUCAAUCACCAUGAACAAUCACGGAUGAAGACGAAACACAUUACAAAGAUUAGAGAGACAAAUGAAGAACCAAGCGAUGAGCAAAGUGGAGAAUUGGGCGAUGAACGAGAGUAGCAAACAAACAAUGCGAAAGCGAAAAAUGUAUUUUCAUUGGUAUGUGGUAACAUUUGAUCUUCCAGGUGUUACUGAAAGUGUCAAAUAAGGAGUCUCUGCAACAUUUUCUUAAAUGUUAUAGAUAAAAUGUUGCAACAUGUCAUAUAUGUACUAGUGUUCUUCUAGUAAGAAANCACAGAGAGAUAGUACUUUUCCUGAACGACUCGUCUUUCGGGAAGAGUGCUUCGAGAAUCUCAAACGCACCCAAAGCAGGCUUAAGAGCCAAGACUUCUCCUCGGCCAUCCAUGAAGAGGAGAGGACAUACACUAUACUCGCUAGCGACGCGAUUGCCUAUCAGGAAGACAGGAAUAACCCACGGCAUCAACAUACACUUAAAUAAGCAUCAUCUUGUGGCUAGCAAUAUCCUAAGACAUUACAAAUACAACUAAAGAUACGCUAGAGAGGCUUCGGCCAAAUGCUGGCAAUAAUGUGUAUCGGUAAAAAAGAAGAGAUCCGCGGAAGAGCAACACAAAAGAACGUGCAAACAUGCAGACUACUGUACUAGCACUGUACUAUCACGCCUGAUGAGGAAGCUAAAGUGCAAGCUCUACAUUGGAUGACAACUAAUACUUUGCUUAAAUCUCUCUUGAAAUGUGCGGAGCUAAUCGAGUUUGUGGAUCAACUUGUGCAAUAAACUUGCAUCGCCGCUGCAUUUCAGCCAGGGAAUGUAGGAAAAUUCGGUAACGAACCGAUUGAUUCUUAGUACCAACAUUAGCGGAAAGUUUGGUUAAUCACCGAGGAUACGCUCAAAUUGAAAUGCGCGUAAGACGAUGGAGUGCUAAUACUGUUUUUCAAAGAAAUUGCAGUAAAGCAUGCAACACUGUCGACAUGUCUGUGGAACUGAUGAUUUACAACUCGCAUAUGUAAAGACUAUAAGAUAUGAUUGAAAGAGAAAAAAGAUGUAAAAGAAGCUGAGUAAUAAUCAGAUGCGCAAAGGCAGAUGUUCGAGCAAAAAGAGCAUAUGAAGACUGUUUUUUUGGAUAUCGCUUAAUAACGCACAUUUUCCACGAUGCGUUAUUAUUGAUUUAAAUUUGUACACAACACAGUACGUCAGUCUCUAUUAUAAUGUAGGCUCAAUUUUUUUUUUCCGCAUAGCGUGAGUUAAUAUCCUUCAUAACUGAACACCAAUGAUAGAACAACUGUAUAGCACUACAUUAACAUACCAUAUAAAACAAUUUUUUUAUUCCUGGAAAGGACCACUCUCCGAAAUAAUGAUUCGACGGGAAGCAUAUGCAUCUCCGGACGUACAAUUCAAAUAUAAAUGGGGGCUCUGAAUUUCAGGGGUGUAUAUUGCAUAAAUGUUAAUAAUAUUGAAUGCUCAUAAAUGUGGAUUCUACGCAACAAGCACCAAUUGCUCAAAAUAUGUUAAUAUAUUUCAGAAAAUAACAGGCCUCCGAAGAUGUGCAUCUUGCCGGAAAUUGAAACGGCAGUUUCCAUAAUUUGCCUAAGCCUGUUUUAAGACAAUCUUGCAAGAUGCUUAUACUUGAAAAUUAUAUCGAUAGCCGGCUAUGACUAUUGAUAAUUUUAUUUAUGUUUUCAUAUUGUUGCAGACCAAUCCGAAUACCAGGGAGAAAAGUGUUAGCAGUUGCCAAAAACAAGAACAAAAGCGUCUUGUUUCUUCUUCCGGUCGGUUCGCCGUCUUGCACUCGCAUUCACUCUAUUGUCAGUACUAUGAAAAACGAAUGGGGCAACCGAUCCGUUUAAUAGUGUUAUCAAAAAAUCUAAGAACCCAUUGCUGUCAAAUGCGUAUUCUCAUUCAUCUCUUGCUUGCACUGCCAACACCCAUUCCGCAUUCUUCUUCUUCUUCUUGCUCACAUCGGGUUCCUGCCAACCAGAGUUGCCAGAACUCAUUGCUCCCGGCCAAUGCAGACCCUCUUCUGCGCGCAAAGAAAUUCUUCCGAUUACGCUUCUCUCCAACCCAAUUUCCGACCACAACUACUCCACCGUACCUCAUUCUCAUUCCUCAAAUCGGUGCGCUCCAAACACUUCUCUUCUCCUCGACCGAUCUCGCUCCGUCGGCCUCAAUCGAAUCCAACCGCAUUACCCCCACCCUCUUCUCUUACCUAAUCAAAAUCCUACGGCGAGAGCCAAUUUACUCUGACAAAGCCUCAACACAUUCUAGCCCAUGCUUCAAUUCAAUAUCAGACCUUUAAAACACACCUUAAGCCGCCAUUCUUGAGAUUCUCGUUUCUCGCCGGAAUUAUGUUCGACCGCUUUCGAUCUCUUUAAGGAUGCUCAAUAGACAUGGUGUGGCUCCUGAUACGUAGAUCGAUAUAACAUUCUCAUGCGGGCUUUUUUGUCUUAAGGUACCAUCAGUAUUGAGCAUACACACUGUUAUGAACAAAAUGUUUAAGAGAGAUGUUGUUCGCUGAUAUGCAGCUCUUAUAGGAUUUUGAUGCAGGCUUUUCUGUAGAAGAGUCAAGUUAAUGGAGCUGUUGAUCUUUGAGGUAUAUGCUUGAAUAAAGGGUUGUUGUCUCCUGAUUCUUGACUUAUACUACUUGUUGAAUAGUUUGUGUAGGAAAGAAGAAGCUUAGGGACGCUAUAAGCUUCUUCUGUAGGAUGAAGGUUAAAGGGUGAUAAUCCUGAUAUAGUCAUUACAAUACGGUUAUAUUAGGGUUUUGUAGAGAAGGGCGAGCUCGAUGAUGCUUGCAAGGUUAUCGAUGAUAUGCGGCGCGAAUGGGUGUUUGCGCGAAUUUUGUUCUCUAUAGCGACUUUGGUAAUGGUUUGUCGUCAUUUGGGAAUGUUUGAUGAGGCAAGGCAGUAUGUGGAGAACAUGGCUUUCCAAAGGUUUUUCUCCACACUUUGCUGUCAUGCCAUGCUUUGGUGAAUGGCUUUUUGCAAUGUUGGUAGGGUUGAGGAAGCCUGUGGAGUUCUCACGAGUUCGCUAGACCAUGGGGAAGCUCCUCAUAAGGAUACUUGGAUGAUUGUGGUACCUCAAAUAUGUGAAGCUGGAGGAAGGAGGAUGUGAGCAAUUGGUGGUGUUUUGGAGGACAUGUCUUAAGAUUGAAAUCAAUAGGUGAUACUAGAUUGUGGAUGCUCGGCAUUGGUUUGGAAGACUACUUGAUUAGGAAGAUAACGGGCUAAGGCGAGUCAGUUUUAAACUUUUUUGUAAUAUAAAAACCGACAAGCUUGCGUUUGUCAUCCAUGUAAGAUAUUUGUAUUCGUAAGCAUUAACGGUGACGAGAUAUCAUUUGAUUAUUCUUACUAGAAGAACACUAGUAGCAUAACGGUUAUGAAAGAAUUUUUGUUUUAUGAACAGCAAUUGAUCGUUAGAAUAUUGACUUCGAGCAUAAAAUGAGGUCAUUUUGUUAGGUAUGAUGUUUUGAUUGUAAACUUGGAGCUUCGAGUGAAGAGCUGAGAGUUACAAUCUUGCUUCUUCUCAUACAGCUCCAUAAAACAAUAGCCGUUUAUCAAACAGGAAUGAAACCAAUUUCAUUCUUUUUGUAAAUUUUUAUGGCAUAAAUUCGUGUAACAUUAUCAACAACAUUGGUAUUAAAUCAGUUUACGGUUUGUUUUAGGAUUAAAAUCUUUUUCUUACUUAGCUACAUAGUAAAAUAAAAUAUUUUUUGGUUUUAUAUAUCUGCAAGCACGCAGAUGAUAGUUGAAGGUUUUCGCUAGUAUUUUUUUCUUCACCAAAGUUUGAACUCUGGUCCUUUAAUCCUUUGCUCAAACCAGUUAAGCUACCCAACCCAACCCAUGAAAUAAGCAAAGAUAAGUGUUAGAAACUAAGACCUGGCAAGCUAAACAAUAAAUGCUUGGACACAAAGAUAAGUGUUAGAAUUUAAGGCCUGGUAAGCGAAACAAUAAAAGCUUGGACUUAACUGCUACUGUGGGAAUGGCCACGUUCUGCUUUUUUUCUUUCUUUCUUCAGAAUUGGUAAUCUAAGGGUGUAAAUCGAUUAACACUUCUCACACUCUUCAAUAAUUGAGUUUCUUUUUCAAAAGAAUAAGUGUCAAAGUUAUUGCAAUCAAGCAUUCUUUGCAUGUCGAACAUGUGUGAUACGACAUUGUAAUAAUUGUAUGGCAUGGAGAUAUAUAAAUCAAUUUUCAGAUGCUUCUAAGAAAUUGUCUUGUGAUGAUUUGAAAGCUGAGUGUUACAAUGGGAAUUCUGUUAUCAAUCCACACUUAUCGCUAACCUGAUAGGUUUUGGCAUAAGAUUAGUUUUAUAUCUCUAACGCCAACCAUACUUAGAGCUAAUAUGAUAGGUUUAGGCAUAAGAUUAGUUUUACAUAUCUCUUAACACCAACCAACAAAUAUAGCUAACAUGAUAGGUUUAGGCAUAAGGUUAGUUGUGGAUAUUAAGGGUUCAAUUGGGUUCUCAAUAUUCUAUUCAUGAUUAUAUAUAAUCUAUUGGCUCUUGUUGUGUCUUGUAUAAUAAAAUAAACCACUUUAUUUUGUUAAAUAUAAAUUCUAUUAUAUUGAUUUAUUUUCAGGGCAACAAUGGCAUCCAUCUCAGCUGUGAAUAUUUCCCCACUAUGCAUGUUUCAACCCGCAAACCGCAUUCAAUCAACCAGUGCUACCUUAGUGAAGUGCCCUUCCGCUUUUGGCUCUAUGAGAAGUGUUUCCAGAUCUUUUGGCUUGAAGUCAUCCUCUUCAUAUAGAACAACUGCCAUGGCUGCUUACAAGAUUAAGCUAAUUGGACCAGAUGGAAAAGAGGACGAGUUUGAAGCUGCUGAUGAUGUCUACAUCUUAGAUGCAGCAGAGAAUGCCGGAGUCGAACUCCCUUACUCGUGCCGUGCUGGAGCGUGCUCUACUUGUGCUGGAAAGGUUGUUUCUGGCUCAGUGGAUCAAUCUGAUGGCUCAUUCUUGGAUGAUACUCAACUUAAGGAAGGCUUUGUGCUUACCUGUGUUUCCUAUCCCACAGCAGACUGUGUUAUCCAAACUCAUAAGGAAGGUGAACUCUACUGAGAAAUUGUGGCUUGAAAGUUAAAACCAUUGCUCGAGGAAACUGAGAAUUUAAGGUAGAUUUUAUGGCGGAUUUUGCUUUAGAAUCUAUCUUUCUUUUAGCAUUAUUAAUAGUGAUAUGGGUUUUAGAAGAUGGUAAGUUUGACAUUUAAAUGUGAUCAAGGGUGUUAUUUUAGUUAUGAAGAACAUGAUGAAGUAUUUGGAGGAAGAAACAACCUUUCAUAAUUGGUAGAGAAAUUUCACUUUCUUUUUAAAAUAAACAAAAUCUAUCUUGUUAUAUCAAUUGUCAAUAGCUGCUAUUUUAACUUACCUAAACAUAUUUCAUUAAUUGAAAGAUGUGGCAAUUUUCAACUAGGGAAUAAGUUGUUAUAGUUUAUUUUUUCAGUUGGUUUAAAUUAAGUUAAAUAUAUAAAAUAUAACCUGCAUAACUCAAUUUAAAUAGUAACUAUUUUUUUGAUACGUAUAACAGUGAGAAAGCUAGCAAAUUUGAAGAUUUGAUAUUAUUGUCCUUUGCAAUGUUUACCUAUGUAUGUUUCAAAAUUCAAAGAACAAUAUAUUAGUUUGAUUUUUAAAAUCAUUUUGACAAAACUUCGAUUUUAAAUAGAUUUUGAUUUUAAUCAAAAUUAUUUAAUUUAAUUUAAAUUUUAUUUUUUUUAAAUUAAUAUUAAUUUUUAAAAUUUAAAACCAUAAAUAAAUUUUAUGAGAUUUUAAAAUAUUAUUUCUUUUAAAAUUUAAAAAAACAUAAAAGAAACAAAUUCUUUAGAAAAAAAAUUGAAAUAAUAAAAUUAUUUUCUGAAAAUGAAAAAAAAAAAUUGAAAACAAAAAAAAUCUUUAAAAAAAGUUAUUCCAAAAAAUAAAAAUAACUGAAAAAAAUUUAUUUAAAGAAAAAUGGAAAUUGGAAAUAAAAAAAUUAUAAAAAUACAAAAUAUUUUUUAUUCUGAAAUUAUAAAAAAUUAUUAUUUAAAUUUUUUUUUUGAAAUUAAAUUUUUUUUUAUUCUGAAAAUUUGAAAAAUUAAUUUACUGAAAAAAAUAUAAAAUAUUUUUUAUUUAGAAGAAAAUAAUAAUUUUAUUUGAAAAAAAUAUUAAAUUAAAAAAAUUCUGAAUAUAAUAUUUUUUGUAAAAAAAUAUUUUUAAAAUAAUUUUUUUAUGAAAUUUAAAAAUAUUUAAAAUAUAAAAUUAAUUUUAAUGUGAUAAAAAUGGAAAGAGACAAAAAUAAAAAUUUUAGUAAAAUUUAGAUAUCCAAUAACAAAACCUAAUUUUUAUAAUGGAUAACAGUUUAUAUUUGAAUAACAAAAUGAAUAUUCAAAUUUUUAUUUUAAUAUUUGGUUUGAUUUUUUAAAAAUAGAAUAAUUUAAUACUAAUUUAAUUAUGAAUAAACCGUUUUUUUUCACAUCCCUAUAUAUCAUAGUCAUUUUUCUUGCUAACUAAAUAUUUAUUUUCACAGCUUAUAAAAUAUUUUGCCAUGUCAGCAUCUGUAAUAAAUUAUACGAAUUAAAAAAAAGGAUAAAAAUAAUGCUUUCCAACCACAAAUCAAAUUUAAGAAUCUAUUACUAGUAAAAUAAGUGUUAACAUCUUAUACCGUCCACUUGAAAUAAUUGAUUUAUAAUUAGUUUUAUAAAAAUUAAAUAUUUAAACACUAAUAUAUUUUACUCCAAAAAGUAUAAUAACAUAUAUAACAAAUUAUUUAUACAAUAGCAACUAAGUUUUAUUCCACUAAUAUGGUCUUAUCUUCUGGACUAUAGUUUUUUUUAAGUGUUUCUCUAUAUCUAAGUGUUUGAUUCAUUUUCAUUUAACAUAUCUUCUUUAGAAAAUUGCGUAAGACAUCAUAAAGAUUGUUACUAUACUUUCGUAAAAAAAUAAAAAUAUUUUUAAGAUUCAGAGAUGUAUUGUUAGACUAAUCCCAAAUAUAUUUGGUUCUCAGUCUGAUCUUAAGACUAUGUAAAAAAAAUUACGGAAAUUAAUCUUCCUAUAAAUUAUGGAGAUGCUUCUCUUGACACUAUUUUAAUAAAAAAUACGUCAGAUUCUUUCUCAUUCCUCGCUUUUUAAAAUACUCUCUCAACUCCUAUUCUCUCAUAGUCAUUCAACUCACUUUAAAUUUUCUUUCAUCAACAUCAAAUCGAUCAAAGAGUUUACUCAACAUCAAACUAAACUCACAAUUGAUAAGUUUAUGAUUUUUUUUUUUAAUUUCUAUAUACAUUUGUAGGAAUUGAGCAUUAAGUUAUGUAAUAUGUAAUUUAGAUAUGUUAGUGAAAUGAAUAAUGUGUUUAAUAGAUAGUUUAAAUGAUCAAUGCAUUAUUUUGGAUGUUGGUAUAAACUGCAUUUCCGCCAUUAACAUGCUUUUGAGUUGUAGUACCUUAUGGAGAUGCAUCUCUAGAUUUUUUCAAUGUUUUGAUUUCUAGAAUCUAGAGAUGUAUCUCCGGAACUUUUUCAGUUUGCUUUGUUUGGCUUGAUCUCAUUGUGUUUCAUAUGUAUAAUGCUUGUGUGAUUUACUUACAGACAAUAUGGUUGAUAACCUAGAUAGAUUGAGGCAUAACAGAGUUGCACAUCAUGCAUAGAGGGAAAAAGCUCGCUCAUCGCAUGCACCUGUUGUUUUUAGCCCGAUUGAUGCGAGAGCGUCAACUUUUGAGGCUCAUGCAUUUCCACCUUACAUGUGUCACCUACUCAGACACCUGAGGCACUGGAGGCACCUAAGGCUCCGCAGGCACCUGAGGCACACGAGGGAUUUGGAGGAGGUCCUUCAGACUUAUUACUCCUGCGUCUAUACCCGAACCAUGAUGCCAGACAUGUCUAGGACGGAAAGGUAAAAUUAAGUUGUAUUCCUUCUUUGAAAUAUCAUUUUUAUAAUAUUCGAAGUUUUCGACGAUGAGUUAUUUUCCUGCAGGACCAUGAUGCCUUAAAAUUUAUCAACCAUGGUCAAAAGAUUACGGGUCAACAACAACCUAAUGAGCAUUGGUCUAAGGAUGUGAUGCAACUAUCUGGGCUGAGAGACUUAUGCAAUAUCGAUUAUGUUACAGUUAACCAUGGUAUGCUAUCAACAUUUGUAGAGAGCACUCGAAGACGACAUCAUUUCAUUUUUCACACAGUGAGAUGUUUAUCACACUAGACGAUGUCUCGUGCCUGCUGCAUCUUUCGAUCAUGGGGAGACUGUUAGAUUACAACAAAAUUAACAUAGAUGACACAAUGGAGACGAUUGUAGACUAGCUUGGAGCUGACCCAGAGAAUGCCAUGCCAUACAUCGAAAAAUCCAUGAGCGCAUCGCACGCUCGAAGAUACAACAGAGUCGCCACCGAACUAUAUUUAUUCUAAAAGGAAAGAGAAAAUAUCGAUAAAAUCCAAGGGAAAGAGAAAUGGGUAAGGAAGUCGGUUAUGCAAGGGGAGGGUAUUAACAUCCCUCACAUUUGUUGUACUUAACGAGAACCAUUUUUAUUGUUCUUUGCUUGAAUGUGUGUUACUAUCUAAAGGUUACUUGCAAAUGAUAAAAGGGAAAAAAUAAGUUUAUAGUUAGUGUGCUCACCAAGGAUUCAAACCCUCGGGCCUACGUAUUCUCACAAUGCAAUGAGAAAAUCAGAGCUCCGUAGUUCGUGGUAGAAAAUAUAGAUUUGUUGGUUGAUUUUAGGGAACAAUUAUAAUCAUAUUCUAGAAGUGUAUAGACGUUAGCUGAUUAUGAUCCUUGUUCGGAUGCUCUAAACUUUUAGUCUGACUGCUAAUGAACAUAUUAUAACAGUUCUUUUGUGAAAAGAAAGAAAAUUGUUUUGAAAAAACGUUUGUGUGAUAAAAGAAAAAGAAAGAGUUGCUUGAAUAUAAUUAAAAGAAAAGUUGCUUGAACUGUAAAAUAAUUUGAAGUGUAAGAAGAGGAGUAGGAAAUGUAGAAAUGGGUGUGAAAUGUGUUGUGAAAUGACAAAGAAGUUGUUUGUGUAUGGUGACAGUAUUGUUUGAACCAAAAUUAUGUUGUUUGGACCCAUAAGAUAGGUGUGUCUGAGCCAAGGAGUGUGUAAACUAAGGAUGGGGUAUUUUAACCGAUAAACGGUGAUUAACCAUGCAUGAGGGUGUGUUAACCAAGGAGUGGUGAUUAACCCAUGAAUGAAAAUAUGUGGUAUUUUAACCAAUAGACGGUGAUUAACCAAUGCAGGAGUUAUAGGGUUUGUUAAUCGAGAAGUGGUGAUCAACCCAAAGAAUGAGAAUGUGGUAUUUUAACUGAUAUCCGGUGAUUAACCAAUGCGGAAAGUUGCCUGAGCAUGGAGGUAAUAUGGCAAUGCAUGAAAAAAUAACUUCAUCUUCUUCACUUCCAUGUUUGUCUUAUUCUUCUAAGCUUCCAUUGCUUUGCUCCACCACCGGAGGCGGAAGAGUUUUCCGGAACAGUCAAGUUGCAACAUAAAAAAUGCUCAUAUCCAUCUCCUCUUUAUAUAUAUCUCAUCAAUUCAAUUCACCACUCAACCAAUUUUCAGAAUUGCAUCAAGAAAGUGAUGAACCCUAACCUCUAAAACAAAAAUUAAAUGAUAGAGGGGAAGAAUCAAGCCGCCAAACCUUGGGGCUUUGUUUCUUCAAUGCAAGAGCUACAUUAUGGUAUCAAGAUUCAAGCAAACUGAGGCAAAAGAAAAUUCACCGACAUGCAAGACAUAGGUUUGUCUUGGAAAUUGUUGAAAUCUGAAGGUGCUGAAGAUGAAGAAAACCAGAGGUAUGCUACUUUGAACCUUUAAUCUUUUGCUUCUGCAAUGAACUUAUUCCUCUUCAAGAAUUAAUUACGUAAAAUUAUGAACUAGAUUAUUGCUGCUAUUGUUGAUUGUAUGAGUAUGAGAGUAGUAUGGAGUGUAGAAGGUUUAGCUCAAAUGGUGACAAACUUCAAUGUGAAGCUUGCUCCAAUGGUGGUAGAGCUUUGGUGAGGCGAGGGAGAUAAAUUGAGAGAGACAAUUCUGAAUUUAUAGUGGAAUGUUUAGAGAAUGAAUGAUUAUGGUGGUUGUUAUUAUCGUUGUUAUUGGUUGAAGAGUGUGGUGAGUUUAUAUAGAUGAAUUUCCCAACUGUUUCGGGCAUCUCUGUUAGAGGUUAGGGCAACAGUUAGUGUUAAUGGAUUCCAAGAGUAAGUUGGUUAUGAAAUUAACAGAGUUAGAGUUUCUGUUAGAUUGAAUUUGACAAUUGGAAUGGUCAAUGAAGUGGCAUUUAGGAACUGUUAUGACAUGUUGGUGAGGUUAGGAUUGAAGUGAAUUAGUGUAGUUCAAGUGUUGGUGAAUGUUUGUGAUGUUGUUGUAAUGCUUAGUUCAAAGAUAGGAAACUGCUAGUGUUGUUGCAUCAUGUUCAUGUGUUGUUAUGUGAACAUGUUAUAGGAAUUGGACUUGUUUUUUAGGGUUUAAAAUGGGACUGUGAUGCUGAAAUUAAGCUGAAAAUUGAAAAAUUAGCAGGUGUAACCGGUUACCGGGUUUUGUGUAAUCGGUUACUAGAAUGAAAAAAGGUGUUCUGGGUUGCUGAAUAAGUUGAUGAAACACAUGUGUAACCGGUUACCAGGUUUUGUGUAACCGGUUACCAUAAUGCAAACAUGCCUCUGGGUGUUGGAGAAAUACAUGUAGCCGGUUACUAAAAUGAAAACUUGGCUUUCUGGUGAGCUGAAGUAGGUGUAACUGAUUACCAGGUUAUCAACUCAAAAAUUGGCCCUUUUUAGUGUUUUGGUGCAUUGACUCAUGUGUGAAGCAUAAGGUUUUGGCCUUUUUCUCAAUGUACAUGUGAUUUUGCAGGGUUGGUGUUAUAUGUUUGUCGUGAAGCAUUAUCUAUGAAGGUUCAGCAAGAGGUGUGGAUUUGACAAGAAGAUAGACCAGGGCUUAGGAUAGGUUGACCUUGGUAAACUAUUUGACCAAAAAGUCAACAGUUGACCAAAGGUCAACUGUAAGUCAAAAAGAUGAAAUUUUGUAUGCAAAUUUGUAAUUUGGAUCCUUUGUAAUGAAAUAGAUUUUGAAAUGAAAGGUGUAUGUAAAUUUUGUUUCAAGAAAGCAAGGUUCCCUUCCAAAUUUACAUCUCUGAAUAUUUGAAUUUGCCUUGAAUAUGACUUUGAAUGAACCUAGAAUUUGAAUUUCUUGAUCACUUGAAUGAAGUGAUAUGCCAUGGAUCAAACAAAUCAAAGCCCAAGAUAAUCAUUAUCUUCCAUAUACUAUGCCAUGAUGUAAUCAACACAACCACAAGCAUAUACCGAAGAUUAAAGUUCCACAAACUUGAUUUACAAGAAAUGAAUCAACCAUCAUUGUUGUGCCAACAUCACUUUUGUAUCAUAAUUAUCAAAACUCUUGAAUCAAUGAUGUUUAUAUGAAGAAUGAAUGCAUAUGGCAUGGGCAUGCAAAUGAACUGAGGAAAGAAAUGAAUCAACCAUCAUUGUUGUGCCAACAUCACUUUUGUAUCAUAAUUAUCAAAACUCUUGAAUCAAUGAUGUUUAUAUGAAGAAUGAAUGCAUAUGGCAUGGGCAUGCAAAUGAACUGAGGGUUAAAAGUCAGAUGAAAAAUGAAAAAGGGAGGACAAAUUUUGGGGUAUGAUAGUUGCCCAUAUUUAAUCUUCUUUGACCUGUAUGUACGAAUGGUGAUGACCGUUCGGGAACUUAAGGUAGAAGAGGAUUAAGGGCUCAUUUGUUUUGGCUUUUUUUAAAUGAUUUUUAUAGUGUUACAUAUUUUAGUGUAAAAAAAAUUUACAAAGAAACUUUUCAUAAAAGUUUCAAAUUAAAAUUUGGUUUGAAUAGUUAUUCUUAAAAUAUUAUUUUAGAUAUUUUAUCAUUUUAUCGAAACUUUUUUUGGAUAUCAAAUUUUCAAAAAAUCACUUAAUUUUGAAGCUAUUUCAAUUAGCUUUUCAUAAAAAUCAUUUUUAAGAUACACUUUUUUGAAAAAAAUUUGUGAUUUCGACUAUGUUUUGAUAUUCAAUAAUAUAUAUUUAUGUUAUAGAAUGAACAAUUCAAUCUUUUAAUUUAUAAAAAACAAAUUUAAAAAACUUAUAAUAUUUUAAAAGACAUUUUUGUAGAAUCCAUUUUCAAAAAUACAAAGAAAAAAUCCAUUUUUUUAAAGUUAAAACAAAUUGGCCCUAAAUACAAGAAUAUCCAAAAAUUUGUCUGUGAGGAUGGAGUGAAUGAGGUGUGAGGAAGGGAAGUGUAUUGGGUAUUUGUUUAUGACAGGUAAACUUUUGUGAUGUCAUCUGAUGGGGAUUGAAUGAAAUAUUAUGUUGGGGAAAUAACUUAGUCGCAAGGGAAAUGUUUGAUAUGCAUGAUAUAUGUGUAAUACCCCAAAAUUUACCCUUCAUUCUUCUUGGAAGCAUGAGAUUGUGUUUCACAUUGCAUUAGCAUCAUACUAGGUCAUACUCAUUGCAUAUUGCAUUAGUGACUUGGGAAAUCAGGGUUUUAUUGAUCACUCCUCAACAGAAGGAGCCUACACAGAGCAAGACUGAGAAUUUAACUUCAUUCUCCAAUUAUACAAGUCUCAAAGAGUUCCAUAUGUCUUAUUAUGUUCCUCAGUUCAUCAGUGGGAGAUUCAGAACUCUCAGAGUGUGCAUAUGGAGUUAAUCAGAAAUCAGGGUUUCAAGUUGUGGCGGAAAUUGGGUUGGAGAGAAGCGUAAUCGAAGAUUUCUUUGGCGAGAAGAGGGUCUGAUUGGGAAGCAAUGAGUUUCUGGACUCUGGUUGGAGAACCGAUUGGAGAAGAAGAAGAAGAAUGGAAUUGGUGUUGCAGUGAAGAAGAAGAUGAUGAGAAUACGCCAUUUGAAGCAAUGGUUCUUAGAUUUUUUGAUAACACUGUAAACGAUCGGUGCAUCGUUUUUUCAGAUAACUGACAACAGAGUGAAUGAGUGAAUGAGUGAAGCAAUGGUUUGGCGGCGAGUAGCGAAUCUGUGGGUGGGUGGGUUAAACAUAUUCCUUCGUUCCAACAACAAACAACUAUACUAUUUAUUUAUUUAUUUAUUUAUUUAUUUAUUACGCCCAAUAAAAUAAUAAUAAUAAAAAUAAAUAAAUAGAACCUAAAACCCAUCACUCUCUCUCACUUCGUUUUUUCCGCUUCCAUCUCUAACCAACGCAACCACCACCGUCUUCUCCUCUGUAAGCUCUUCCAUUCUUCAUCACUUUUUCUUUAAUAUAGAUUUUACUAUUAUUAAUAUACUCUGCAAUUUAUCUCAACUAGUUAUGCUAUUACUAUACCCUUCAUCAAAUCAAACCUUCAUCAGGGUUUAUCUUUCUUCAUAAAUCUCAUCAUUUUCUACCAAAAACUAUCUUCAGUUAUUCAUUAUAUCCUUUAGGAAUCUAGGUGUUGUUAAUUAUUCUUGAAACAAACCAAGAAAUCUCUAUUUGAUGGGGUUUUGGGGUUUGAUUUGACAGCUCUAGGGUUUUGUCAUUUUGUGCUUAUGAUUUUGUUUUUUUUGUUAUUGUGCUUGGCUGGGAUUUUGAUCUCGUUGGAGAUUUUCCUGCAAAGACACAAUCUUUCAUUGUUUUGUUGAUUGGGCACAAAUCAUAUUUUGAAGGUGUUCCGGUGAGGUGAGUAUCCGGUGGUCCGUGUAUGACAUGUGUCGAUGUCAAUAUGUGUGGUUACUUCCGUUACUUUCAUUUUUAAAAAAAUUCUUAUUGGUGCUUUGUGUUUCAAUCGGUGUUUCGUAGGGGGAAAUUGAGUGGUGUUUUAGAGUAUGUCUUUAGGACUGGUUAUGAAAGAAUUUUUGUUUUAUGAACAGCAAUUGAUCGUUAGAAUAUUGACUUCGAGCAUAAAAUGAGGUCAUUUUGUUAGGUAUGAUGUUUUGAUUGUAAACUUGGAGCUUCGAGUGAAGAGCAGAGAGUUACAAUCUUGCUUCUUCUCAUACAGCUCCAUAAAACAAUAGCCGUUUAUCAAACAGGAAUGAAACCAAUUUCAUUCUUUUUGUAAAUUUUUAUGGCAUAAAUUCGUUUGACAUUAUCAACAACAUUGGUAUUAAAUCAGUUUACGCAGAUGAUAGUUGAAGGUUUUCGCUAGUAUUUUUUUCUUCACCAAAGUUUGAACUCUGGUCCUUUAAUCCUUUGCUCAAACCAGUUAAACUACCCAACCUAUGAAAUAAGCAAAGAUAAGUGUUAGAAACUAAGACCUGGCAAGCUAAACAAUAAAUGCUUGGACGCAAAGAUAAGCGUUAGAAUUUAAGGCCUGGCAAGCGAAACAAUAAAAGCUUAGACUUAACUGCUACUGUGGGAAUGGCCACGUUCUGCUUUUUUUCUUUCUUUCUUUCUUCCUUCAGAAUUGGUAAUCUAAGGGUGUAAAUCUAUUAACACUUCUCGCACUCUUCAAUAAUUGUGUCUUGUAUAAUAAAAUAAACCACUUUAUUUUGUUAAAUAUAAAUUCUAUUAUAUUGAUUUAUUUUCAGGGCAACAAUGGCAUCCAUCUCAGCUGUGAAUAUUUCCCCACUAUGCAUGUUUCAACCCGCAAACCGCAUUCAAUCAACCAGCACUACCUUAGUGAAGUGCCCUUCCGCUUUUGGCUCUAUGAGAAGUGUUUCCAGAUCUUUUGGCUUGAAGUCAUCCUCUUCAUAUAGAACAACUGCCAUGGCUGCUUACAAGAUUAAGCUAAUUAGACCAGAUGGAGAAGAGGACGAGUUUGAAGCCGCUGAUGAUGUCUACAUCUUAGAUGCAGCAGAGAAUGCCGGAGUCGAACUCCCUUACUCGUGCCGUGCUGGAGCAUGCUCUACUUGUGCUGGAAAGGUUGUUUCUGGCUCAGUGGAUCAAUCUGAUGGCUCAUUCUUGGAUGAUACUCAACUUAAGGAAGGCUUUGUGCUUACCUGUGUUUCCUAUCCCACAGCAGACUGUGUUAUCCAAACUCAUAAGGAAGGUGAUCUCUACUGAGAAAUUGUGGCUUGAAAGUUAAAACCAUUGCUCGAGGAAACUGAGAAUUUAAGGUAGAUUUUAUGGCGGAUUUUGCUUUAGAAUCUAUCUUUCUUUUAGCAUUAUUAAUAGUGAUAUGGGAUAAUGGAUAUUUGAUUGUGUGCAAGCACUAGUUUUUAGAAGAUGGUAAGUUUGACAUUUAAAUGUGAUCAAGGGUGUUAUUUUAGUUAUGAAGAACAUAAUGAAGUAUUUGGAGGAAGAAACAACCUUUCAUAAUUGGUAGAGAAAUUUCACUUUCUUGUUAAAAUAAACAAAAUCUAUCUUGUUAUAUCAAUUGUCAAUAGCUGCUAUUUUAACUUACCUCAACUUAUUUCAUUAAUUGAAAGAUGUGGCAAUUUUCAACUAGGGAAUAAGUUGUUAUAGUUUAUUUUUUCAGUUGGUUUAAAUUAAGUUAAAUAUAUAAAUAACCUGCAUAACUCAAUUUAAAUAGUAACUAUUUUUUGAUACGAUUAACAGUGAAAAAGCUAGCAAAUUUGAAGAUUUGAUAUUAUUGUCCUUUGCAAUGUUUACCGUGUGAUUAAAAAUUCAAAUCAAAUUGAAUCAAAUAUAUGGAUUAGUUUGAUUUUUAAAAUCAUUUUGAUAAGAUUGAUUUAUUUUUUUUAUGUUUGGAUCGGUUUGGUUAAUAACCGGUUUUAAAUAGAUUUUGAUUUUAAUCAAAAUUAUUUAAUUUAAUUUAAAUUUUAUUUUCUUUAAAUUAAUAUUAAUUUUUAAAAUUUAAAAAUAUAAAUAAAUUUUAUGAGAUUUUAAAAUAUUAUUUCUUUUAAAAUUUAAAAAACAUAAAAAAACAAAUUUUUUAGAAAAGAAAAUUGAAAAUAAUAAAAUUAUUUUCUGAAAGUUAUUCCAGAAAUAAUAAAAUAAUUUAAAAUCGAAAAUUAUCUUUAAAAAGAAGUUAUUCCAAAAAAUAAAAAUAACUGAAAAAAAUUUAUUUAAAGAAAAAUAGAAAUGGGAAAUAAAAAAAUUCUGAAAAUAAAAAAUAAUUUUUAUUCUGAAAUUAUAAAAAGUUUUAAAAAAAAUUGAAACUAAAAGUUUUUUUAUUCUGAAAAUUUGAAAAAUUAACCUUUUUGAAAAUUAAAAAAAAUAUCAAAACAAUUUAUUUAAAAAGAAUCUAAUUUUUUUUACUGAAAAAAAUAUAAAAUAUUUUUUAUUUAGAAAAAAAUAAUAAUUUUAUUUGAAAAAACAUAUCAAAUAUAAUUUUUUUCAAAAAAAUUCUGAAUAUAAUAUUUUUCGUGAAAAAUAUUUUUAAAAUAAUAAAAUUUAAAAGUAUUUAAAAUAUAAAAUUAAUUUUAAUGUGAUAAAAUAUGAAAAGAGAUAAAAAUAAAAAUUUAAGUAAAAUUUGGAUAUCCAAUAACAAAAUUAAAUUUUUAUAAUGGAUAACGGUAUCCAAAUUUUUAUUUUAAUAUUUGAUUUGAUUUUUUAAAAGUGGAAUAAUUUGGAUACUAAUUUGAUUAUGAAUAAUCGAUUUUUUGCACACCUUAUAUAUUAUAGUCAUUUUUCUUGCUAACUAAAUAUUUAUUUUCACAGCUUAUAAGAUAUUUUGCCAUGUCAGCAUCUUUGUAAUAAAUUAUACGAAUUAAUAAAAAGGCAUAAAAAUAAUGAUUUCGAACCACAGGUCAAAUUUAAGAAUCUAUUACUAGUAAAAUAAGUGUUAACAUCUUAUACCGUCCACUUGAAAUAAUUGAUUUAUAAUUAGUUUUAUAAAAAUAAAAUAUUUAAACACUAAUAUAUUUUACUCCAAAAAAUAUAAUAACAUAUAUAACAAAUUAUUUAUACAAUAGCAACUAAGUUUUAUUCCACUAAUGUGGUCUUAUCUUUUGGACUAUAGUUUUUUUUUUAAGUCUUUCUCUGUAUCCAAGUGUUUGAUUCAAGUACAUUUAACAUAUCUUCUUUAGAAAAUUGCGUAAGACACCGUAAAGAUGGUUACUAUACUUUUGUGAAAAAAUAAAAAUAUUUUUAAGAUUCAGAGAUGUAUUUUUAGACGUUCCCAAAUAUAUUUGUUCCUCAGUCUGAUCUUAAGACUAUGUAAAAAAAUUACGGAAAUUAAUCUUCCUAUAAAUUAUGGAGAUGCUUCUCUUAACACUAUUUUAAUAAAAAAUACGUCAGAUUCUUUCUCCUUCCUCGCUUCUUAAAAUACUCUCUCAACUCCUAUUCUCUCAUAGUCAUUCAACUCACUUUAAAUUUUCUUUCAUCAACAUCAAAUCGAUCAAAGAGCUUACUCAACAUCAAACUAAACUCACAAUUGAUAAGUUUAUAAUUUUUCUAUUUUUUUAUUUCUAUAUACAUUUGUAGGAGUUGAACAUUAAGUUAUGUAAUAUGUAAUUUAGAUAUGUUAGUGAAAUGAAUAAUGUGUUUAAUAGAUAGUUUAAAUGAUCAAUGCAUUAUUUUGGAUGUUGGUAUAAACUGCAUUUCCGCCAUUAACUUAUGGAGAUGCAUCUCUAGAUUUUUUCAAUGUUUUGAUUUCUAGAAUCUAGAGAUGUAUCUGCCGAAACUUUUUCAGUUUGCUUUGUUUGGCUGAUCUCAUUGUGUUUCAUAUGUAUAAUGCUUGUGUGAUUUACUUACAGACAAUAUGGUUGAUAACCUAGAUAGAUUGAGGCAUAACAGAGUUGCACAUCAUGCAUAGAGGGAAAAAGCUUGAUCAUCGCAUGCACCUGUUAUUUUUAGCCCGAUUGAUGCGAGGGCGUCAACUUCUGAGGCUCAUGCAUUUCUACCUUACAUGUGUCACCUACUCAGACACCUGAGGCACUGGAGGCACCUGAGGCACACGAGGGAUUUGGAGGAGGUCCGUCAGACUUAUUACUCCCGCGUCUAUACCCGAACCAUGAUGCCAGACAUGUCUAGGACGAAAAGGUAAAAUUAAGUUGUAUUCCUUCUUUGAAAUAUCAUUUUUAUAAUAUUCGAAGUUUUCGACGAUGAGUUAUUUUCCUGCAGGACCAUGAUGCUUUAAAAUUUAAAUGAUAGAGGGGAAGAAUCAAGCCGCCAAACCUUGGGGCUUUGAUUCUCCAAUGCAAGAGCUACAUUAUGGUAUCAAGAUUCAAGCAAACUGAGGCGAAAGAAAAUUCACCGACAUGCAAGAUAGAGGUUUGUCUUGGAAAUUGUUGAAAUCUAAAGGUGCUGAAGAUGAAGAAAACCAGAGGUAUGCUACUUUGAACCUUCAAUCUUCUGCUUCUGCAAUGAACUUCUUCCUCCUCAAGAAUUAAUUACGUAAAAUUAUGAACUAGAUUAUUGUUGCUAUUGUUGAUUGUAUGAGUAUAACAAUAGUAUGGAGUGUAGAAGGUUUAGCUCAAAUGGUGACAAACUUCAAUGUGAAGCUUGCUCCAAUGGUGGUAGAGCUUUGGUGAGGCGAGGGAGAUAAAUUGAGAGAGACAAUUUUGAAUUUAUAGUGGAAUGUUUAGAGAAUGAAUGAUUAUGGUGAUUGUUGUUAUCGAUGUUAUUGGUUGAAGAGUGUGGUGAGUUUAUAUAGAUGAAUUUCCCAACUGUUUCGGGCAUCUCUGUUAGAGGUUAGGGCAAUAGUUAAUGUUAAUGGAUUCCAAGAGUAAGUUGGUUAUGAAAUUAACAGAGUUAGAGUUUCUGUUAGAUUGAAUUUGACAGUUGGAAUGGUCAAUGGAGUGGAAUUUAGGGACUGUUAUGACAUGUUGGUGAGGUUAGGAUUGAAGUGAAUUAGUGUAGUUCAAGUGUUGGUGAAUGUUUGUGAUGUUGUUGUAAUGCUUAGUUCAAAGAUAGGAAACCGCUAGUGUUGAUGCAUCAUGUUCAUGUGUUGUUAUGUGAACAUGUUGUAGGAAUUGGACUUGUUUUUUAGGGUUUGAAAUGGGACUGUGAUGCUGAAAUUAAGCUGAAAAUUGAAAAAUUAGCAGGUGUAACCGGUUACCAGGUUUUGUGUAAUCGGUUACUAGAAUGAAAAAAGGUGUUUUGGGCUGCUGAAUAAGUUGAUGAAACACAUGUGUAACCGGUUACCAGGUUUUGUGUAACCGGUUACCAUAAUGCAAACAUGCCUCUGGGUGUUGGAAAAAUACAGGUGUAGCCGGUUACUAAAAUGAAAACUUGGCUUUCUGGUGAGCUGAAGUAGGUGUAACCAAUUACCAGGUUACCAACUCAAAAAUUGACCCUUUUUAGUGUUUUGGUGCAUUGGCUCAUGUGUGAAGCAUAAGGUCUUGGCCUUUUUCUCAUUGUGCAUGUUAUUUUGCAGGGUUGGUCGUGAAGCAUUAUCUAUGAAGGUUCAGCAAGACGUGUGGAUUUGACAAGAAGAUAGACCAUGGCUUAUGAUGGGUUGACCUUGGUAAACUAUUUGACCAAAAAGUCAACAAUUGACCAAAGGUCAAUUGUAAGUCAAAAAGAUGAAAUUUUGUAUGCAAAUUUGUAAUUUGGAUCCUUUGUAAUGAAAUAGAUUUUGAAAUGAAAGGUGUAUGUAAAUUUUGUUUCAAGAAAGCAAGGCUCCCUUCCAAAUUUACAUCUCUGAAUAUUUGAAUUUGCCUUGAAUAUGACUUUGAAUGAACCUAGAAUUUGAAUUUCUUGAUCACUUGAAUGAAGUGAUAUGCCAUGGAUCAAACAAAUCAAAGCCCAAGAUAAUCACUAUCUUCCAUAUACUAUGUCAUGAUGUAAUCAACACAACCACAAGCAUAUACCGAAGAUUAGAGUUCCACAAACUUGAUUCACAAGAAAUGAACCAACCAUCACUGUUGUGCCAACAUCACUUUUGUAUCAUAAUUAGCAACACUCUUGAAUCAAUGAUGUUUAUAUGAAGAAUGAAAUUGUAAAUGAAUGCAUAUGGCAUGGACAUGCAAAUGAACUGAGGGUUAAAAGUCAGAUGAAAAAUGAAAAAGGGAAGGCAAAUUUUGGGGUAUGAUAGCUGCCCCUAUUUAAUCUUCUUCGACCUGUAUGUACAAAUGGUGAUGACCGUUCGGGAACUUAAGGUAGAAGAGGAUUAAGGGCCCGUUUGUUUUGGCUUUUUUUUUAAAAUGAUUUUUAUAGUGUUACAUAUUUUAGUGUAAAAAAAUUUACAAAGAAACUUUUCAUAAAAGUUUCAAAUGAAAAUUUGGUUUGAAUAGUUAUUCUUAAAAUAUUAUUUUAGAUAUUUUAUCAUUUUAUCGAAACUUUUUUUGGAUAUCAAAAUUUCAAAAAAUCACUUAAUUUUGAAGCUAUUUCAAUUAGCUUUUCAUAAAAAUCAUUUUUAAGAUACACUUUUUUGAAAAAAUUGUGAUUUUGACUAUGUUUUGAUAUUCAAUAAUAUAUAUUUAUGUUAUAGAAUGAACAAUUCAAUCUUUUAAUUUAUAAAAAACAAAUUUAAAAAAACUUAUAAUAUUUUAAAAGAAAUUUUUGUAGAAUCCAUUUUCAAAAUUACAAAGAAAAAAUCCAUUUUUUAAAAGUUAAAACAAAUUGGCCCUAUAUACAAGAAUAUCCAAAAAUUUGUCUGUUGAGGAUGAAGUGAAUGGGGUGUGAGGAAGGUAAGUGUAUUGGGUAUUUGUUUAUGACAGGUAAACUUUUGUGAUGUCAUCUGAUGGGGAUUGAAUGAAAUAUUAUGUUAGGGAAAUAACUUAGUCGCAAGGGAAAUGUUUGAUAUGCAUGAUAUAUGCAAAGUAUGAUUUUUUUUUUAUGAUGCAUGAAUAUGGAAAAGUUUGUAUAUAUGAUGUGUGUGCAAAGAAGCAAAAUCCUAGAAGAGGAAAUUACAAAAAAUGAAAAAUAAAAGUAAAUGGAAAUGGGAAAUUUAUAUGAAUUUCCAUUGGUUUCAACAUAGGCUAUCACCCCUCUAAGAUAUGGGUCUCAACACUUUGCUUCGGUUGACGAUGAUUGGGUCGAUUUGUUGUCGUCUGAGAUCUAGUUGUGAUGAAGUAGGCUCAAGGUUGCAGCCAAAUGCCUUUCUCCCUAACUUUUUCCUGAACAUUUUACUCUUUUUUUUGUCCACCGGGAUACCCAUUUUUUCCCUUUCGUAAGGAGCAUUAUGGAACAACAAGACAACCUAAGUGCAUCGUCGUCCUCUCACGGGGUUCCCAUCCAACCAUGACGGGUGGGGGAUCUUCCUCAUAGCAUGGUGAUUCUCAAGGUCCCAUCCAUCAACCAGGGAACUAAGAACCCUUUUAGAUAUCUUUCGGUGGCCGUCUAGAGGCAGUCAAAGGUUAUUCUUAAUAGAAUGAUUGUUUGAUAUGGGUCGAAUAUGAGUCAAUAUCCAACGACAUCCACUAAGCCUUAAGGGACAAAUACAAUCCCACCAAACCCAUAUAUUCUUCCAAUAGAAGGCGUUCACUCCAUAGGCCCCAUAAACAUUAGGAUCGUCAUUAAGGAUGAUACGGAGGAUCAUGGCUCAAGAGACGAUUCAUUGUUCUAACAAAAAAACAACUAAUCCCUACGAUCAUGUGGAUACUGUGUCGAUAUCAUCCUCACAAUUUGAAAUCCGAAGGGACCUGUCAAAUGCAAGAUUUUCAUUUGUACUGUAGAAGUAUUCCUUAAAACUUUUAGGUGAUGAAGAGAAAAAAACCAAAAAUCAGAAAGCCAAAAAGCACUCUGGUUUGGGCAGUUUGCGGGUAUCAGGUUUGGUCAGUUCAGUUCAUAGAUUCAUUCAUCAAUGUUAGGAUAUUCUAUCUUAAUUUAGAGAUACUCUAAGAUACUCUAAAUUAAUAUAACAUAUAUUAUACAAUAUUUAUAAUAUUUAAAUUAAUAUAAAAGAUAUUAUAAUAUAUCUAUAAUAUUGUUAUUCUAAUAGUUAUUGGGUUAUGUUUUUGGCCCAUUAAAGAUCUGUUGGGUUUGAGCAGAUAUAAAUAUGUAUCUUUAUCACUCUUAUCUUCAUAACCUUCAAAACUUUAUUAGCUGAAGACAUAGAAAAGAAUUUGAGAAUCCUAGUGGUAAACUUAGAAAAUGCAAGGGUUAAAAUUUCUUGGAGUUCUUUGAAUUUGGAAAGCCUUUGGAGGUAUUUAAGGGAUCUGGGAAAUACUUCUAAACACCUUGGGCUUGUGUGAUAAUAUAUUGAGAGUUGGAGAGAAUAGGAAACACUUGGAUAGAAAUAAGGUUUUGUUUGUGGUAACUCAAAAGGCUUUUUCUUGUAUCUCAUUUGUAAUCUCUUGUAACAACUUUUGGAAGUAUACUGAAUCAUAGAGCUUAUCUAUCCCUCAAAGUAGAUCGUUUGAUCAAAUUGGGUAAACAAAUUAUUAUGUUCUUGUCUUUUAUCUUCUUCUGGCUUGCAGUCGUUUUGGUUCCACUUUUGGCCGGUCAUUGUGUUUCUCUAGGCCAUUUAUUUUGGUUGUCAUCGUUUUUUGUCUCCACAUAUCGAAUUUCUAGGCGUGUUUAAACUCUGAGUAAUUCUUCUUAAUUGUUUUAAGUUAUUAUACUAGUUUUUCACAACAAGUGGUGCCCACCGUGGAUCAAGGGGGGAGUGGGGCAUUGUUUACAAGUGUACACCAUGGGUAAAUAAGAGAUAGAUAAAUUUUCUACAAAUAACGAUUUUGGGUUGUGAAAACUGAAGAUGCAAGCAAUAUUAACUAAAGAUAAGUUUAUUUAAGCAUUGAAGCGCGAGGAAUGGAUGCCUCCACACCUAACACAAAUAGAGAAGACCAAGAUGGUAGAUAAGGCCAGAAGUGCCAUUAUCUUGUGCCUCAGGGAUAAAGUUCUAAGAGAAAUCUCCAGAGAGAAAGAUGCAGUUUCAAUGUGGGCACAACUUGAAUAAUUGCAUAUGACCAAGUCUUUGGCUCACAGGUUGUGUCUGAAACAACAACUCAACUCAUUUCAAAUGGUAGAGGACAAAUAGUGGAGCAGUUGACAUAAUUUCAUAAGAUUAUUGAAGAUGAGGACAAAGCUCUACUCCUGUUGAUCUCAUUACCCAUAUCAUUUGAUCACUUUAAGGAUGCCUUUAUUUAUGGUAAGGAGGGUAUUAUGACUUUGGAUAAAGUUCAAACAAAUGUGAGGUCUAAAUAAUUUUCAAAGGUGAAAUAUUUGAAGAUUGAUGAUAGCGAUGAAUAAUUGAGUGUAUAAAGAGGAUGAAGAGAGGGUAGAGGGAUGUCUAAAUCAAAUAGGUUUGACAAGUAAAAUUAAAAUGUUUUACUUGUCAGAAACCAAGCCACUUCAUGAGGGAAUGUUCUGAGAGUAUGGGCAAUGAUGGUUCUAUUUAUAAUGAAGUUUCCUCAGAUCAGGAUAGUUAUGAGAGUGUUGGUGCAUUAUUGGUGUCGAGUUUGGAGGCCGAAGAGAGUUGAGUAAUGAACUCAAAUUUCUCUGAUCACAUGUGUCCAAUAAAAUAAUAUUUUUAGACUUUGAAGCUAAAGCAAGAUGGAGUAGUUAUCCUUUGUAAUAAUAAGACUUGUAAUGUUUAUGGUAAUUGUAUAGCCAGACUUUAAAUGUUCAAUGAUCGUGAGUUUUUUCUUAACAACGUGGGGUAUAUUCCAUAACUCAGGAAAAAUUUGUUAUCCAUAAGCAUAUUUGAUGAUCUAGGAUAUUGCACUAGAGUUGAACCUGGGGUGUUGAAGAUUUCUCAUGGUGAAGUGAUCAUAGUUAAAUGAUCUAAAAUAUGUUGUUUAUAUAUUUUAUUUGGUUCUAAUGUUGUUGUUCAGUCAUCAUCAACUAGUAAAGACUUUCGUGAUAAGAACAAGCUAUGGGAUUUGAGAUUAAGACAUGGUAGAUACCUGGAGGUUGUUUCAGAGCACUUUAAUGAGUUUUGCAUAAAACAAUGAUAAAUAUGCAUUUGGACACUAAGUUGUCAUUGAGUUUUUGGGGUAAGGAUGGUGCCAAAAUAACUUACUUGGCCAAUAUGUGUUCAUUUAUAUGAAUAUAAUUCCAAACACUUAUGGUGGUUUGUAGUAGGAAAUCUGAAAACUACUCUUAUUUGAAGGUUGCCAAAACUUUGUUUAUUGAUCAAAUCAAGCCUGAUCGCCUUGAUGGUAAAGUUGUAGAUUGUUUCUUCAAUGACUAUCCAAAAGGAAGGAAGGUUUAUGAAUUUUUGGAUGUAUAACUUAGAGGAUUGAAUUUCAUCAAUCACAAAUGUAUUACUUUUAGUGACUCCUGUCAGGAGAAGAAGAGUAAAAGCCUUAGGAUGAAGACUUUAGAAACUAUGGUGGAGAAAACUCAGUUUGAGGUGGAGUUCCUACUAUGGAUACUAGUAAUAAUGAGGAAACAAUUACAAAAGCCUUUGGUUAUCAUUUGACUCGUGAUAAAAUAAAGAAGGAGAUUGUACCAUCUUAAAGGAAGGAUUAUGCUGGCCUUGGGUGUUAUGCUUUGAAUGUGGCCGAAGGGUUGCCAAACUCAAAAACAGAAACCUUCACCGUGGCAUUCAAAAAUAGGUGAAGUCAAAGAUAAUUGAAGAACCAUGCUUGUGAGCUUGUUAGACUACUAACACAAAAAAAGGUGAUUGGAAGAAAGUUGAUGCACUUGGAGAGGUCAAGGUUCAAGGAUGCCUUGAACUUGAUCAAGGUUGUUAAAUAAUGUUUCAACAUGGUAUAGUGCAUCAAGGUGGUUGAUGGAUAAAUUGACUUCAUUACAGUUUCAAGUCAAGGAGGAGAUUGUAGAAGUAUGUCUUAAAACCUUUGAGUGAUGAAGAGAAAUAAAACAUGUUUCGAGAUUGCCAUAAAUUAAAAAGUUAAAAAGCAAUAUGAUCUAGGUGGUUCGUGGGUAUCGAGUUUGGUUAGUUCGAUUCAUGGAUCUGUUAAUUAAUGUUGAUUUAGAGAAACUCUAAGAUACUCUAAAUUAAUAUAAAAUAUAUUAGAGGAUAUUUAUAAUAUUUUAAAUUAAUAUAAAACAUAUUCUAAAAUAUUUAUAAUAUAUUUUUAAUAUAACACCCUAAACCUCAAAAUUUAUAUAAAAAUGUUUAAUCGACAAUUUAAGGUGUCACCAACGAUCAACACCAAAAACUCAUCAAAAACAUGUGACAAAACGCAUAGGAAUUCAUAUCAUAACAACUUCAUUUUAAACUUCGUAAAUAAAGUAUUGGACUUUAAAGCACAUAAUUCAACAUUAACUCAAAGCAUAACAAAAAAACACCAUGUUGCCGAUGUUACAAGAUCAGAGAACUAAAACCACUAAAUUGCGAUAAAGCGUCAAAUAAAAUGAAGAAUAACUCCAACAAGCCACCUUCCACACACAACAACAACUUUAUUCCUGAUUAUUUGCAAGAUGUCCACGGCGGACAACAUUAAGCAAAAGGUGUGAGAAAUAAACUUCGAUAUAAAUGGUGUAAAUAUGCAAAGGUAGAGAAACACACAAUAUAUCAUACAUUCAAUGCACAAUCAACAUCACCAUAAUCUCACACCUGUUCAUAAUAAUAUUCAAAUAUAUGUAAUGCGACUCGUGAUACUAUGCAUAUGGUACCAACUCAACAUUUGGUUUUCUCAUGAAUCAGGUUCCCCCUUCUGAACCCAUGAGCCCCUCCUUAUGAGCUUAGGAAAAAACCCUAGUCCCUCCUUCUGAAUUAGCGAACGUGCCUCUUUCAACAACACGACACAAUGAUGCAUGUCCAUACAAAUCAAUACAACAACAAUAAUAAUGCUUACGGUCCCUAUUCUAACCAUAAAUAACAUGCAUUGACACACAAUAGUAAGUCCCUCUUAUGAAUUACUAUCAUCCAAUAAUAACAAUAAUACUCACCAUCAAUACAUAAUUAAUCACCAUAUAAUCAUGCAUUUCAUAACAAUACGAGUCAUAUUCACAUCAUACAACAUCACCAAACAACAGAGCCACAUCGAAUACACAUCCACACAACACUCAAUCAUGUUAAAUCAUCUUCACAUUAAUUCAUCAUUAAUUCAUUCAUUUGCAUAAAUUAAUCAUUUGUUCGUUAUUGUUAACUAUUGUGUGACAAGUGAAACUAUUAAAUUUUCACAAUUUCCAGCAUCCAUAUAGCCUCUUAAUACAUCACUAUUGGAUAGCCAUAUGUGUUAUAUUUCCAAUGCUUUAAACUGCACCUCAUUUGGAUUUAUGGAACUAAAAUUAUGGAAAAAGAAAUUAGAUAACAUAAUAGGAUUCAACUCAAUAAUUUUUCAAAAUUCAACUAGCAUCAAUCAAUUGACAUAUGGGGACAAUCGUUUGACAUUAAUCCCCAUUACAUUCUACCUUUUCCAAUUUUUCACAUUUUGGCUGAGAAUAAUCGAUUGACUUAGGAAAUUAAUCGAUUGACAUAGUUUAAUUUUUUAUAGAUAUUUCUAAUUUUUCACGUGUGCAAUCGAUUGACACGGGAUGUCAAUCGAUUGACAUCACCCCAAAUUCUAAAAAUCUCAGUUUUUCACACGUUAACUUCAUCUUCCCCAUUCCCUAUCCCUCAUACACCAAAUCAUUUCUCAUUAUAAAUAUUCAAACACAUCAUAUCAUGAAUUUUACAGCAUAUAACAAUCUCAUCACAAUUAAACAUGUUAUAGCAUACAAAUUAAGUCAUGAUUCAUAACAAUUGUACACAUAAUUUAUUAAUCACUUUCAUCAAAAUCAUGUUUAUGUUCAAAUUUUCAAAAUUCUAACAAUAAUAUAAAAUCACACACACAUAAACAAAAUAGUAGACACACGAGUUUAGUCAUGAAAACUAGAUAAUCAGGCCUUCAAUAAUCAAUUUUCAGAUCAACACAUAACAACAACGAUUAAUUAAAGAUUGUACGAAAUCCCUAAAGAGAGUAAGGGUCAAUCUUCCUUAUCUUUUAUGUCAAACGCCUAUAUAGAACCUCUUUCUAUCCCCUUACCUCAUAUUUCCAGCAAAAUUUUAAAUUAGAUUGAUGGUUUGUUCCUCCGUAUUCAAGCCAUAACCUCCCUUUUUCUUCCAAAAACUCUAUUUCAUGUAUUGACUCCUCAAAAGUCUCAUUAACCCCUUUUCAUCUCUAAAAACCUAAUUUCAUCUCUUAAUAAUUACAUUAAGGUCCAACUCUACUUAUUUUUCUCACCAUUUCCCUUUUUUUUUUCUAAAUUUUUACUUAAGACAUUUUUUCUUAUUUAUUUUAAUCAAUUAAUCAAAAAGAAUCAUAAAUUCUAAUUAUUUCCAAUUAAUUUAAUUAUUCUAUCCAUCAAAGAGUUCUCACAACACUCCACCAUACACCACAUACACAUACAGAGUGAAUGAGUGAAUGAGUGAAUGAGUGUUUGUUUCGGUGUGCGUGAGCCGAACUACGGUAGCUCUGAUUCUCGUUCCAGACGAGAUACGUAGGCAUAGGAUGCGAUAUCCUAGCGAGCCCUCUCCCCUCUUAUCCCACCUGUGUUGUUUCAGUGUGUGUGUGUGAUGUUUGUGAGCAGUGUAGCAACCUUAUCCUAUCUUUUAGAGCGUGGAUCCCGUCGAGUACGACGGAUGCGUAGGGGUGCUAAUACCUUCCCUACGCAUAACCGACUCCCGAUCCCAUUCUCUUGGUCCUGCGAGACCAUGUUCUUUCCAGGUUUACUUCGAGCGUUUCCUUUCCUCUUUUAGGAUAAAUAACGCACGGUGCGGCUCUGUGUUGUUUGUUUAGCCGCCGGUUAUUUUUCGCGGAUGCGACACUAGGUAGAAUAGGUAGAAUGAAACUCUUAACUUAGAAUAAUUACAUGUUUUAUAUAUAAAAUAAAUACAUUCAAAUGAGUCAAUGUAUUUCUUUGAUGAUAUGACAUUUUGUCAUGUAUUUGUAGUUUUAUAAAUCUCAGAGUGCAUUGAUAAAUGGAUGUAUGAAGAAUUAAUACAAAUCUUUAUAGGUAAAAUAAAACUAUAUUACACUACUUACUACUAAUUUUACUAUCUUUUUAUCUAAAAAAAUUCUAAUUUGAGAGUCUUACAUUUUUUCUUUACCCUGGAGAAACAAUUGCAGGGAAAAAGAAAAUACUUCGUAUAAAGAUUUCAUGUUCGACAUUCCUCUUAAUAGUACUUUGUAUGCUUUAAUAUAAUUUUGAAUAUCUUUGUUUAUCAUUUUCAAAGUGUAAUAAUAUUUUUUUUAAUGCUACAUACAAUAGAAAUCUCAUAAAAAGAAAAAUUUACAUUUAAUUUUCUUUGAUGUGUGCAUUAAAAAAAGCGGGCAGACGAGAGAGAUAGAGAAAGAGAGUAAAGGGAAUAUUGAUAUAACAUGAUAUUUAUUCAUAGGGGAUUUUGGUAAACAAUACGAAAGUGGUUUUUCCAUAAAAGAAAGAUGAAUAUAGGGAAUUUUGGUAAGCAAUACGAAAGUGGUUUUUCCAUAAAAGAAAGAUGAAUAUUUAUGAUUAUUACCGUUGCAUUCGAUCAUGAUUUUGGUAAAAAAUACGGGCAUCAUUACAAACAGACAUUUCCAAGGGAUCAUAUAUAUAUUUAGGAUGGAAGACUUAAUUUAGAACUCUUACUAUUUUUAAAGUAUAAUAAUAUUAUUUUUAAUAUGACGUACAAUAGAAAUCUCAUAAAAUAAACAGACAUUAAUUUUUCUCCGCUGUGCGCAUUAAAAAAAAGUGGACAGACGAGCACGGGAGUGCCCGUCUGAACGCUAGUGUGUUAUAAAAUUAAUUAGAAACAAUAUUAUCUAUAUGUGUAAUUUAUACUAAAAUAUGGAUUCUAAUUAUAAAUAAAUGGGAUAAUAAUAUGAUAAAAUUAAUCAAUUUUUAUUAGCGGUUAAGAAAACUAAUUAUUAUUUAAUAGUGAGAGCUUAUUGGGAGAUGAUUUAUUUAGGAUUCACAAUGUAUAAUAAUGUAUUAUUUAUAACACUUUCUUUUAAAUAUUUAUAGAAUCUAUGUCUCGUUAUAAUUUUAUUAAAAAAAAUUUAGUGAAAAAAUAUAAUUAAAAAAAACUACAAUAUUCUUCUGUAAUAAUUAAUUUAAGAUAUAUUUAUUUAUCCUCCUCAACUAAACGAUCUUCUCUUCGAUAAUGAAUGUCAAUCUUGUGUAUUAGUUGGUUAAAAGUNCCUCCUCAACUAAACGAUCUUCUCUUCGAUAAUGAAUGUCAAUCUUGUGUAUUAGUUGGUUAAAAGUUCUAUUUAGAAGUGAGUUCAUAUAGUGUUAAAACUUUUACAUGAUUUGACGAAGUUUUUGUUGUGGGUUUUUUCACAUAUCUCCAUGAAAUGGUUCUGACACCACAAAUAAACAAGUAAUAUGUUUGUGAUCUGGCAUUACAAGGAUCUGACAAGAAGCAUGCAUCUCUAAGGUAACAAAGUAUAUGUUUGACUCUAUUCUUGUUUCGUAUUGGAUCCAAAAAUGGAGUGGAGAUCGAAAGUGAUGGUGAUUUUGAGCUUCCGACACAGUGGAGAAGGGGUUGACCUACAAGGUUAGCACUUUAACACUCAAGUCAAUAUGUGAGGGAGAAUAGUGAAUUAAAAUUGAACUUGGCGCCUUCUCUAGAUAUAGCAGAGAGUAACAAACUCGCUAUUUGUUAAGAAUAAAAUAUGGAGAGUCGUUGGAUGUGAAUGCAGUGGAAAUCCUUUGUGAUUAUCAAGAGGAGAGUCCUUGUGUGCUGAGGAGAGUCGUUGGAUGUGAAUGCAGUGGAAAUCCUUUGUGAUUAUCAAGAGGAGAGUCCUUGUGUGCUGAAAAUAUUAUGGAAGGAUUGCAAUUCCUUCAGGGUGGUCGAUCGAGGUCAAUAUGAUCGGCCCAAAACAGUUUCCCCUUAAGCAUCUGUCUAUGCAUAGCAAGGCAAGGGUUUCUUACUUCAGCCUCAGCUAUCGACCACCCUUGCAUCUACGCUAGGAAGAGUAAAAGGAAAUGUUCUCAUUUCUUGGGGAUUCACGCAUUUAAUGCGCCAUAUUUCAAACUUCUCUUCGUAAGUGUUAUCAUUACGAAUCAUAGGGACUGAAAUACUCAAGUAUUACGUGCGAGUGAUUUGGUGCAUUUGAAAUGGUAUUGCUUAUUUUUGCAAGCUAGAGUAUAUUCUUGAAGAGUCAGUGUCACUUUUCUUUGCGUCAUUUUCUCAAUUUAACUGUUAUCUUCUUCUUUGACAUUUCACUUUUCUGCAUCAGAAAAGUUAAUGCAUUAUGAAUAAAAAAAAUCACAGAAAUGUGCAAAAAAAUCCUAGAAGAUUGUUAUAUCUUCUUGGGUGGACCUUGUCUACUCUUCUAUCGUUUUUGUCUUUGCCAAAGAUAGGAAUCUUGAUGGAGAUUUUCUUGAAGUUGGUCCAUCUUCGCAUUGGGGUGUAUUAACCCCCCAAACAAUGAUGAAAUGAUAUGUAGUGAGUAUGGAGAUUGUGUCGUUCCAUUUUAUGAAUACAUUUUCUCCAUUUACCUAGAGGUAGAAUGAAAGUGGUGAAAACUCUAUUCUAAAGAAUUCCACCUGAUGGCUCAUUCACAACUUCACCCAGGAAGCUAGGCAUAUGUGAAAUUAUACCAAUAUUGGUGUGAAUACUUACAGGGAAAGCCUUUUGUGACCCUUUUUUUUCUUCUCUUUCAAUGUCAUUAUGGUACUACGACCCAAUCAUAAAGUAAAGGGUUAAUUUCUCUGACGUCAAAUGUUCGAGACUUUGGGGUUCUUCCUGAGUUGCAACCUUUCUAGUAUCAUUUCUUUUUUGUUACCCCUAGCAACCUAUACACCCACACUUUGGUAUAUGUCGUUAUGACCAGGUGGAAGAUAGAUGCACUGAGUUGUUCCCUAAGUAUUGGACGGAAACCUGCUUACUUAUGGGAAAUGGGGUAUAUGUUUAUAAAGAGGGGGACCUUACUAUUGGAUAUAUGUAUUAGAAGAAAUGGGUGAUAAGAUUCAUCGGCGACUUGGGUUACCUUGGUGGCGGCAUACCCUCGGACGACGCUGAUCGAAGACGCUUGUAGUGUCUGUAACUACAAGUUGACGACUACCUCCGGGCAAGAGCCCUUCUUUCAAUAGUUAUUUUUGGUAAGCUUUGGAAACUCUUGGCUUCUUUGUUUGUAGUUUUUCUUACUCUUUAAGUGUUUGCUUAAUCAUGGUUGUGUGCAGAUUUAAUGAAGGAUGAAGUACAAAUUUGGCUUAUAAGGCGGGGAAUAUGGUCGACAGGGAGUGACACCGCUUUUAAUACUCUUCUGAGGUUACAAAGUGUGUCGGGUCUUCCAUCCUGUUCAUUGACAACGGGGUUGGGCUCACGUUCCUCUAAAAACUGCCAGACUCCUUCUUCAAAAGAGGAUCAUCACAUUUGGCCAAUUUGUCUAGGCCUGCUUUGGAGGAAGAAUUGGUGACUCUGCCUCGGUAUACUCUGUGUGCUUCUUCCACUUUGGCCCUUGGUGGAGUUGGUUAAUGGGAAGCUAUUUGGUUUAAUCAGUAACAUGCUGAGAAUCCAUGGUCAGAAAAGAGUGUGCAUAGCGUAACGCUUCUGUGGGAUCUGUACCUGCACGAAAUACAAAUAACUUCUACUUUUCUUAGUGAGAUAAAUGACGUUUUGGCCCCAUCAAUGCCCUUGGCUCUCUGUCUGGUCAGGUGACUCGUCUAGUGAGAAUUGUGGAAAGGAAGGACCAAGCUCAAGUUGUUGAUCAGAGAAAUUUAUUGUCUACUUAAAUAUCUAUUUCAGCAACUCAAAGAGGAUUGGAGUCUCUGUGGCUUGAGAAUGCUUCUCUGACUCAGGGUCUGGAUGACUAUGCAUCCUCCAGUGUUAAGGCAGUUUCACAAUCUUUUAAGAAUGCUUUGUAAAAAUUGGAUCACUUUCAUCAUCCUAUAGUUAUCUUGAGGGAGAAGAUUUGAUUGGAUCAGGGGCUCAAAGAUAUAGAGAUUGUCUCUCUGCUGGAAUAGCCAUGCCACCCACUUUUUUUUGUA
rnacentral:lncRNA from 1 species